rnacentral:rRNA from 1 species
AUUGAACGCUGGCGGCAUGCUUUACGCAUGCAAGUCGAGCGGCAGCGCGGGGGCAACCCUGGCGGCGAGCGGCGAACGGGUGAGUAAUGCAUCGGAACGUACCCUGGAGUGGGGGAUAACGCCGCGAAAGCGGCGCUAAUACCGCAUAUGCUCUGAGGAGGAAAGUGGGGGACCGCAAAGGCCUCACGCUCUGGGAGCGGCCGAUGUCCGAUUAGCUAGUUGGUGAGGUAAAGGCUUACCAAGGCGACGAUCGGUAGCUGGUCUGAGAGGAUGAUCAGCCACACUGGGACUGAGACACGGCCAGACUCCUACGGAGGCAGCAGUGGGGAAUUUUGGACAAUGGGGGCAACCCUGAUCCAGCCAUGCCGCGUGAGUGAAGAAGGCCU